AGUGUCGAAUCAUUUGUCAAUCAUUUGUGUAGGAAAUAUCAAAACAGAAAUAUUAAAUAAUUAUUUAUUGAACGUUAAUUGUCGACAAUAUUAUUCCAACAACAAAAUGCCGUUAAAGGGGAAUGCACAAAUAUGGAAGUACGAAAAUUUGUGCAACGCCUACAAACGAGCUACCAAAAAAAAUCAAUAUAAGGCCAGAUUAUGUGUCAGCUCGUAACCGAAAUCAAAGAUUCCACGAAAUUACAGUCAAACAUUGCUAAGUUGAACACAAGAUAUUUGUGUUUUUGGAAUGUUCAUAUGCGAAAAUUGAAAAAUUGGAAAACUUGCAUUAAUUUAAAUUCAAUUCGUUUUAGCAAAAUUUGUCAUUACAUUUUGAGAUUAAACUAAAACACAAUUCACAGCUCUUUUCAAUGUUUAUGUUUUUAGUGCUUGCGUUUCAAUUUCAGGGGAAAACUUCUGUCGACAAUUCUGCAACUGGGAUUGGGAUUUGUAUGCAAAAGGUACAUUUUAUUUUAUGCCACACCGCUUGGGCAAAUAUUUGAGGCCUUUUCAACAAAGAUGGUGAAAAUGAUGACGACGAUGAUGAUGAUGUUGAUGAUGAUAACGACGCACUCGUUGACAACGAAACUGGGAUUCACUGUUCAUUCAUUUAGGCUUUUGUUUGAAGAUUUUGACGCACUUGUCGUGGGGUCUGAAUAUA